UAGGGCCACGGGGGGCAGCAGUGGGGAAUAUUGCACAAUGGGGGGAACCCUGAUGCAGCAAUGCCGCGUGGGUGAAGAAGUACUCCGGUAUGUAAGGCCCUGUCAGCAGGGAAGAAAAUGACGGUACCUGACUAAGAAGCCCCGGCUAACUACGUGCCAGCAGCCGCGGUAAUACGUAGGGGGCGAGCGUUAUCCGGAUUUACUGGGUGUAAAGGGAGCGCAGGCGGCGUGGCAAGUCAGAUGUGAAAACCCGGGGCCCAACCCUGGGACUGCAUUUGAAACUGCCGUGCUGGAGUGCCGGAGAG
rnacentral:rRNA from 1 species